rnacentral:rRNA from 1 species
UACGGAGGGUGCAAGCGUUGUCCGGAUUUAUUGGGUUUAAAGGGUGCGUAGGCGGUUCUUUAAGUCCGGGGUGAAAGCCCACUGCUCAACAGUGGAACUGCCCUGGAAACUGGAGAACUUGAGUACAGACGAGGGUGGCGGAAUGGAUGGUGUAGCGGUGAAAUGCAUAGAUACCAUCCAGAACCCCGAUUGCGAAGGCAGCUGCCUAGACUGUAACUGACGCUGAGGCACGAAAGCGUGGGGAGCGAACAGG